rnacentral:lncRNA from 1 species
GUAAAAAUUCUUGCCAAAUGACGUUAACGGUAAUUUUUAGUGCAUGACGAUAAAAUGUACACUUUCUCUUAGACGAUAAAAAAUCAGCUGAAUUUGACGAAUUACGCUAUUUUUUUUCUCAAAAAUAACGGUAACGAUAAUUAUUUGAGACAUCUGACGAAUCACGAUAAGGAUAUUUUGACGAAUCACGGUAAAAUUUUAACCAAUUUGACGCUAAUGGUAGCCGAAAAUGACCGUUUGACGCCUGACGGUAAAGGGCAUUAUCACCCUCAUAU